GGUGGCUCAGUGAUAGAGUGCUUGCCUUGCAUGCAUGAGGCUCUGGGUUCAAUUCCUCAGCACCA
rnacentral:tRNA from 1 species